rnacentral:rRNA from 1 species
CACGUAGGAGGCGAGCGUUGUCCGGAAUCAUUGGGCGUAAAGAGCGCGCAGGCGGCUUGGCAAGUCGGGUGUGAAAUCCCGGGGCUCAACCCCGUGACUGCAUCCGAUACUGUCAGGCUAGAGGUAGGUAGGGGAGAUCGGAAUUCCUAGUGUAGCGGUGAAAUGCGCAGAUAUCAGGAGGAACACCGGUGGCGAAGGCGGAUCUCUGGGCCUUACCUGACGCUCAGGCGCGAAAGCUAGGGGAGCGAACAGG